UUUAAGGCUUUCAACUUGUAUCAGUUGAGGGCAUUUAAAACCUUACGGACUUUGAAACCUCUCUACACUUUCACCCAAUUUCGCAUCUUUUCCAAUUCCAUUGUCAUCUUCAAUGUUCUCUCUCUUUUCCUAUCAAUAAAAUUUUUUACUGUACAAGUACUCAACUAGCAAAUCUUCCCAAUAGAAGCACAUUAUACUCAGCGGAUGUUGGUGAACUCCUGGUCGAUUUGAGGCUUAAAGGAGUCUUUACUACGCGUAUUUUCAUAGUGGUACCAUCAUGGAUUCCAGUAGAGGCUUUGUAGACAUUAUAAAGCUAUCAUCUGUAUUCAUAAUUUCACUUGUCACAUAUAGCAGUUCAGCUAGUUAAAAUGUGUUAUAUAUGAAGCUUCUCAAUAGUAAUAUGCACAGUAAUUUAGUUUUUCAUCA